rnacentral:tRNA from 1 species
UCCCUGAUGGCUCAGAUGGUAAAGCAUCUGCCUGCAAUGUGGGAGACCUGGGUUCAAUCCCUGGGUCGGGAA